GUGCCUGUGGCUCAAAGGAGUAGGGCGCCGGCCUCAUAUGCCGGAGGUGGCAGGUGCA
rnacentral:tRNA from 1 species